rnacentral:rRNA from 1 species
GACGAACGCUGGCGGCGUGCUUAACACAUGCAAGUCGAACGGAAAGGCCCUGCUUUUGUGGGGUGCUCGAGUGGCGAACGGGUGAGUAACACGUGAGUAACCUGCCCUUGACUUUGGGAUAACUUCAGGAAACUGGGGCUAAUACCGGAUAGGAGCUCCUGCUGCAUGGUGGGGGUUGGAAAGUUUCGGCGGUUGGGGAUGGACUCGCGGCUUAUCAGCUUGUUGGUGGGGUAGUGGCUUACCAAGGCUUUGACGGGUAGCCGGCCUGAGAGGGUGACCGGCGCGCGUGGGAGAGGGACACCGCGCAGGGAGCGGGGUGGGGCAGCGGGGGGUAGUGGUGCACGGUGGGCGGAAGCAUGGUGCGGCGGGGCGGGGUGGGGGUGGGCGGGCUUGGGUCUGUAAGCCGCGUUGGGGGGUGACGGGGGGGGGGGGACGGUAGGGAGCAAAGAAGCACCGGCAAACGACGGGCCAGCGGCAGCGGUAAUAGUG